UACGUAGGGGGCAAGCGUUGUCCGGAUUCAUUGGGCGUAAAGAGCUCGUAGGCGGUUCGGUAAGUCGGGUGUGAAAUCUCCGUGCUCAACACGGAGCGGCCACCUGAUACUGCUGUGACUCGAGUCCGGUAGGGGAGUGUGGAAUUCCCGGUGUAGCGGUGAAAUGCGUAGAUAUAGGAAGGAAUACCAGUGGCGAAGGCGGCCUCCUGGAUCGAUACUGACGCUGAGGCGCGAAAGCGUGGGGAGCAAACAGG
rnacentral:rRNA from 1 species